GAGGUAAGAAAACUAUAUUAUGCUUUUGAAAAUUGAUAAUAAUUUAUAAUUUUGCAGGGGUAUAUUUUAUUGUGCCCGUGUGCUCACAAUCUCCACUAUAAUGAGCACAGAGAUCUACUCCUAUACAUGGAACCUUUCUUCGGGGAUUAUUUUAUAUGGGUGUUUACGAACAGUUUGCCCGAAGGAAGUGGUGUUGCCUACUGCAGAGUAGGACCGUAAGUUGUUGUUUUGUGCUUGUUGUUGAAAAUUAUUUACAAUUGUAAUUCUCUUUAGCGUGUCUUAGUUGUAAAUGUAAUAUAAUUCUUUUUCCAGACGAAUCUGCAUCUCCAAUAUACAGAAUUGUAUAUAGGAAUAGGAAGGAGAAGCAACGACGACGACGACGAUUCUGCAAUAUAUAGAGAAAUUGUUUAUAGGAAAUUUACAAUUUGUUUAUCAUGAUAUUGUCAUAAUUGGAAUAAAACAUACCUGAUUGGAUUUCAAUAAUAACAACAACAACCGCUAUUGGUUUUACAAAUUUAAUUGUGUCGUAGUUUGUUGAUAAGUAGAACUCGACUGGUUUCCAUGCAAUUUCUAAUAACUAUAUAUAUAUAUAACAUCAGUUCAUGUCAACAAUCUCGACUGCUGAAUAACAGGAAAACCGCAAGGUCGCUCUCUAUCGAAAUAACAAGAAAUGAAUUUACUAAAUAACAGGACACCUCAAAGAAUAACAGGAAACCGCAACCGCAAACGACUAAAUUUAAAAUAAUGUCGAAUGCUGAAUAACAGGAAAACCGCAAGGUUAUACACUCGCGCCCUCAUAUCUACUACCCACUAAACACAUCUGCAACCACCCCCAAACACAAUCUACAACCCCACAAAAAAAAAAACACCGCAGACCCAUCUCGUCUUACUAAGACAUCUCAAAAUUUAUUUUUCUUACUACCCUCAUCAACAACCACCCCCCAUACAUCUACUAACCCCUAAACACACCUGCAACCCCUAAACACACAUCUGAAUGUGUAAACACCGCAAUCAAGACCGAUCCAAAAAGUGAGUUUUUGUCACUGAAAUCUCCCAUAAGAAAUACAUUGCGCUUAUGGAGAUUUACAUUGUGCCAGAACGUAGGAAAUCUUAUCGCUAACAUCUUCAACUGUCCAUAGCACGUCUUCAAAUGCCAUAGGAACUGCAGAGAAAUUUAUUGUGAAGACGUAGGCAAGAUUGAUAAGAAUUUGUCAAAUUCCUUACGUAACAGUGAACACACACUGUACGGCACAGUAAAAGUUGUAAAAUAAUGUUGCCACUUACCUAAGCUCAUUUAGUAAUAAAACUAAUAACACAGCGAAUAGCUUUUGAAACUCGGUCACACGUAGUGGAUUGAGAUAUGAUAGAGGGACAUCCUGGCAGUCCUUGGUGAAAUGUGGUUGGAGAAAACCCUGGUUACAAAAUCAAGGAGUAUAUGGUAUAUCAAAAACGAUUCAGAGAAAUGAAAACGACACAGAGAGAAUAAAAACACCACCUCGUACAAGAAAUAUUUAUUGGUUGCAACCAAGCAGCGUAAUUUUGAUUAUGGACCAAAUGCUGAGGAAAGAGAACUAACCGAAGAAGAAUUUGAUUCAAAAGGUUACAUGAAUACCGUAUAAAAUGGGAUAUCUACAUUAUAGAUUACCGGAAAAGAUAUCUCGGAAUUAAUUGCCAAUGAACCGUUGAGCCAAUUUUCAAGUGGUCACAAGACUCCCGACAACGCCGUGCCAUAAUUUAAUGAAACAAAUAUUAAUAUUAUCCGCUGUAAUAAAAAAAUAGCGGAGCAAUUAAGUACUGGAAUAAUAGUGAGAGCAUGGUAAGAGGAAGGAGUUAUUUAGCUGCUUCUCCUGAUGGAUGCAUAUAAAAGGGCGAAGCAUAUUCGAAAUCGGGGUGAAUUCCUUUGAAGACUUUUUGCUCAAAUUACUUUUUCAAGGUCAUCCAAGGUCAAUGAAUACCAUUGCCUUUAAAUAAUGUUCCUGGUAUAAUGACAGUAUGUAGCUACCGACUAUAUAAGUUUUUGAACGUAUUAUCAUAAGCACAGUUCUACAAUGUCAUGUCGGCGAACAACCACAUUCAAUUGCCGUUUCUGAUGCCUAGAUACGAUCUAUAAGUAGAAACAAAAUAUUUACCAUGUUGCGAUUUUUGUCGGGAAGGUUAAAUAAAUAGGUAAUGGUUCUUCGCUGACCAACUUUAUUCAAUUAAUCUGAGCAACUGUGCCCCUGCUCUGGUUCAUUGCAAGACAUGCCCACAUACCAAUCAACAUUCAACUUCAAUAAAUGUACAUCGAAAUACGAGUAAUUGUAAAUAUGGACAAUGGACAACAGCUUCAGAUCCCGAAGAUGAAGACAUCUUCGAUCGGCAGACUGUGGUGAUAGACUUAAGUGAUCGAGAAGCAGGUUUGGAGAUAGAAAUCCCCAACGGAUUUUUUACAGAUGAGCGUGAAGACGGAGAUCUCUGAUUUACGUACAAAGCGGAUAAGGUCCAUUGAAAAUAAACAUAAUGAAAAACGUUUCCAAGGCCAGGUGUCAUAUUUCACUUUUUUUCGAUAAUCUGAUUUUCCUUGGGUUUCUAUAAUCAGAGAGUGGUGACAGCGUUAUGGAGCCACCGAGCAAGAACCUGGAACAGCUCCACUUUCACAUAACCUAUUCGUGCGGCCCGUAUCUCAACCUACAGCAGAAAGGUCACCAACCCCUGUUACUUCGAUUGCAGAUAGUGACAUAGAGGAAGAAUUCAAUAUGAAGAUAUUGCACCCACAACGCAGUCCGAAUCCUCUCUGCCGCUUCCGCCACUACCACAGUUGGGUGGUAAAAAUCAAAAAUUAGCUUUUGCGAAGUUUCUAUCAGCUUCACCAUAUACACUUCAGGCGUCAGUUACCCUUGGGGCCAAUGACAAUCUAGAUGAAUCGGUUUUUGAAGAAAUUGAAUCUUUUAUUUGCAGCGUAUACUUAUAAUCAUAAUAUUACUGGUAUUAUACCCGGCAUUUGUCAUUUGCCUAGUUUGUCGACCUGGAUCUUCGACUUUAGCUACCGCAAGGAUGUAGCUCCUUUCUUUCAGGAAAGUAGGCAACCCAACAUCCACCGAUUGUCGUGAAGAACAGGAAUGGCGUAGAAGGGAGGUUUUAUAGGUCCGUAAGUUAAGAUCGAGGCUAAGUGUAGCCUGAUAACCUGCUAGGACCUUACAAAUUGGCGCCCGAGCAGUCUAAAGGAUAGCAGAAAGCACAAAAGGUUAGACAACGCUUAUGUCUACUAGCCUCAUUGAAUACGCCUACGUGACCACGGCUAGUAGAUCAAGAAAUUGAAGUUGUUUGCGGAAAUAAGUAGACGAAAAGGGUAAAGGAAAAGAGAACUCCGCAAACGAAUGAUGGACAAAUAUAAAUCAAGAAUGUAGCGAUAAUUCGCGGUUUGGGGGUAAUCCCCUCAACAGAAAAAGUGGAGGAAGGGGUAUACAAAAAUAUGAAAAUAUACCUAGCGAAUAUUUUUUGGAUUUUUAUAUCUAAAUAAAUACCUAAUCUUGAUUUUGUUUUUCCUAUACACUUCUACAUACGAUUACCAGCAUAUGGACGUUCUAGUUAAUCCCUUAUAUAAAAUAAUUUUGUUUUUUUUCAACCCUCGAUAUGAUAUGAUAAUAAAAUGGAACUUGCCCGUAAGGGUAGAAUAGGUACUUUAGCGACGACCUGCUUCCGUAAUGCAACAAACAUCACGUUAUCGUAUGUAAUAGGUAUCAAUCCCGUAUCUAUACAUUGGCUAACCGGUUUGGCACUUACAGGUUUCUCUGAACCCAGAAAUGCAACAUAGUUUUGAUUUCUCUGUGCACUCUUUCAUAAUUGCAGCAAUCGAAAGGAGGGCCAGCACCACAAGACAAGUUUUAACUUUUACCUUGGUUUGGGGCAGAUUUUUAUCCUCUAUCGUUAAACCACAUCAUUAACGUCGCGGUUCAUUGCACUUCAUUAAACACGAAUACAGUCAAAAGACCGGAAGCUUGUGGUAGUGGUAGGAAAAUUAGUUUCGAGAGCAUUUGGAAUUCCUGAAUCAAAUUUAAGACUUCGGAAAAAAGAACAAAGUAUCCAGUCCAAAACUAGGAAGGUCUACAACAUUUUCACCGCACGUCGAGAAGAAAAUUGCCGAUCAUGUUCAUUUAGUAAGAUCCAUGGAUUAAUUCCGACUGAGUUAAAAAACUUGCAUUUUAAUAUGCCGAGCAAACUUUAACAAACACACAACUGUGGUGAAGCAGGAAAAGGGACGUCGGAUUACCACAAAGAAAGUAUUGUCGACCCUAUUUUUCGACGCUACGGGAUCAUUGGUAAGGAACUUAAACUUUAAUCCUCAGGAAAAGCGCAUGAUUUAUUAUGCAGGUGUCAUACAAAUUAAUGACACUAUUCUUCCCCUUUUGGAAUUUAAUUCAAGUACCCAUGGCGCUGACUCAAUCACUAGUUUCUUGAUCAGAUUUAAAUACUUCGUUGAAAAAAAUUAUCAUAAUUGGCCAUGUUUUUCUCGAGUUGUUGUGGAUUUACACAAUAAAGAUUCAUCUGAUCUUAAGAGCUUAGUACCUGUCCACAUUUGCUGUGCACAUUUUAUGCACAGCUUCCCAAGGCGCAUAAAAAGUAUGAAUAUUAAGAAGGGCGUAGGCAAUGUACUUCUA